UUGAAACAUCGGUUUCCGUACCAUCAACGAAGUUAAGCAGCAUCGAGCCUGGUCAGUACCUAGAUGGGUAACCGCUUGGGAAUACCAGGUGCUGUAAG